rnacentral:rRNA from 1 species
GCUGGCGGCGUGCUUAACACAUGCAAGUACGAGCGGUAAGGCCCUUCGGGGUACACGAGCGGCGAACGGGUGAGUAACACGUGGGUGAUCUGCCCUGCACUUCGGGAUAAGCCUGGGAAACUGGGUCUAAUACCGGAUAUGACCUUCGGCUGCAUGGCUGAGGGUGGAAAGGUUUACUGGUGCAGGAUGAGCCCGCGGCCUAUCAGCUUGUUGGUGGGGUAAUGGCCUACCAAGGCGACGACGGGUAGCCGACCUGAGAGGGUGACCGGCCACACUGGGACUGAGACACGGCCCAGACUCCUACGGGAGGCAGCAGUGGGGAAUAUUGCACAAUGGGCGAAAGCCUGAUGCAGCGACGCCGCGUGAGGGAUGACGGCCUUCGGGUUGUAAACCUCUUUCAGCAGGGACGAAGCGAAAGUGACGGUACCUGCAGAAGAAGCACCGGCUAACUACGUGCCA